GAUGAACGCUGGCGGCGUGCCUAAUACAUGCAAGUCGAGCGAACAGACGAGGAGCUUGCUCCUCUGACGUUAGCGGCGGACGGGUGAGUAACACGUGGAUAACCUACCUAUAAGACUGGGAUAACUUCGGGAAAUCGGAGCUAAUACCGGAUAAUAUAUUGAACCGCAUGGUUCAAUAGUGAAAGACGGUUUUGCUGUCACUUAUAGAUGGAUCCGCGUCGCAUUAGCUAGUUGGUAAGGUAACGGCUUACCAAGGCAACGAUGCGUAGCCGACCUGAGAGGGUGAUCGGCCAAACUGGAACUGAGACACGGUCCAGACUCCUACGGGAGGCAGCAGUAGGGAAUCUUCCGAAAUGGGCGAAAGCCUGACGGAGAAACGCCGCGUGAGUGAUGAAGGUCUUCGGAUCGUAAAACUCUGUUAUUAGGGAAGAACAAAUGUGUAAGUAACUAUGCACGUCUUGACGGUACCUAAUCAGAAAGCCACGGCUAACUACGU
rnacentral:rRNA from 1 species